AUGGUCAAGCUAAUAAGGGCAGAAGGCGGAUGCCUUGGCACCAGAAGUCGAAGAAGGACGUGGUAAGCUGCGAUAAGCCUCGGGAAGCUGCAAGCAAGCAUUAAUCCGGGGAUUUCCGAAUGGGGAAACCCACUUAGGCUAAUACCUAAGUAUCUAUUGCUGAAUUCAUAGGUAAUAGAAGACAUACCAGGCGAACUGAAACAUCUAAGUACCCUGAGGAAAAGAAAGAAAAAUCGAUUCCCUAAGUAGCGGCGAGCGAAAGGGGAAGAGCCCAAACCGAUAGGGUUUUCUCUGUCGGGGUUGUGGACCGGCCACAAAUGAAGACUUAUUCUAGUAGAAGAGAUCUGGAAAGAUCCACCAUAGAAGGUAACAGUCCUGUACAUUAAAGGAUAAUAAUCCAGGCCGUGAUCCAGAGUACCACGAGGCACGUGUAAUCUUGUGGGAAGCAGGAGGGACCACCCUCCAAGGCUAAAUACUAACUGGUGACCGAUAGCGCAUAGUACCGUGAGGGAAAGGUGAAAAGA
rnacentral:rRNA from 1 species